rnacentral:misc_RNA from 1 species
GAUGAAGAACGCAUCGAAAUGCGAUAAGUAAUGUGAAUUGCAGAAUUCAGUGAAUCAUCGAAUCUUUGAACGCACAUUGCGCCCGCCAGUAUUCUGGCGGGCAUGCCUGUCCGAGCGUCAUUUCAACCCUUGAACCCCUCCGGGGGGUCGGCGUUGGGGACCUCGGGAGCCCCUAAGACGGGAUCCCGGCCCCGAAAUACAGUGGCGGUCUCGCCGCAGCCUCUCCUGCGCAGUAGUUUGCACAACUCGCACCGGGAGCGCGGCGCGUCCACGUCCGUAAAACACCCAACUUCUGAAAUGUUGACCUCGGAUCAGGUAGGAAUACCCGCUGAACUUAAGCAUAUCAAUAAGCGGAGGA